GUCUGAAUAUGGGGGGCCCAUCCUCCAAGGCUAAAUACUCCUGACUGACCGAUAGUGAACCAGUACCGUGAGGGAAAGGCGAAAAGAACCCCGGCGAGGGGAGUGAAAAAGAACCUGAAACCGUGUACGUACAAGCAGUGGGAGCACGCUUAGGCGUGUGACUGCGUACCUUUUGUAUAAUGGGUCAGCGACUUAUAUUCUGUAGCAAGGUUAACCGAAUAGGGGAGCCGAAGGGAAACCGAGUCUUAACUGGGCGUUAAGUUGCAGGGUAUAGACCCGAAACCCGGUGAUCUAGCCAUGGGCAGGUUGAAGGUUGGGUAACACUAACUGGAGGACCGAACCGACUAAUGUUGAAAAAUUAGCGGAUGACUUGUGGCUGGGGGUGAAAGGCCAAUCAAACCGGGAGAUAGCUGGUUCUCCCCGAAAGCUAUUUAGGUAGCGCCUCGUGAAUUCAUCUCCGGGGGUAGAGCACUGUUUCGGCAAGGGGGUCAUCCCGACUUACCAACCCGAUGCAAACUGCGAAUACCGGAGAAUGUUAUCACGGGAGACACACGGCGGGUGCUAACGUCCGUCGUGAAGAGGGAAACAACCCAGACCGCCAGCUAAGGUCCCAAAGUCAUGGUUAAGUGGGAAACGAUGUGGGAAGGCCCAGACAGCCAGGAUGUUGGCUUAGAAGCAGCCAUCAUUUAAAGAAAGCGUAAUAGCUCACUGGUCGAGUCGGCCUGCGCGGAAGAUGUAACGGGGCUAAACCAUGCACCGAAGCUGCGGCAGCGACGCUUAUGCGUUGUUGGGUAGGGGAGCGUUCUGUAAGCCUGCGAAGGUGUGCUGUGAGGCAUGCUGGAGGUAUCAGAAGUGCGAAUGCUGACAUAAGUAACGAUAAAGCGGGUGAAAAGCCCGCUCGCCGGAAGACCAAGGGUUCCUGUCCAACGUUAAUCGGGGCAGGGUGAGUCGACCCCUAAGGCGAGGCCGAAAGGCGUAGUCGAUGGGAAACAGGUUAAUAUUCCUGUACUUGGUGUUACUGCGAAGGGGGGACGGAGAAGGCUAUGUUGGCCGGGCGACGGUUGUCCCGGUUUAAGCGUGUAGGCUGGUUUUCCAGGCAAAUCCGGAAAAUCAAGGCUGAGGCGUGAUGACGAGGCACUACGGUGCUGAAGCAACAAAUGCCCUGCUUCCAGGAAAAGCCUCUAAGCAUCAGGUAACAUCAAAUCGUACCCCAAACCGACACAGGUGGUCAGGUAGAGAAUACCAAGGCGCUUGAGAGAACUCGGGUGAAGGAACUAGGCAAAAUGGUGCCGUAACUUCGGGAGAAGGCACGCUGAUAUGUAGGUGAAGUCCCUUGCGGAUGGAGCUGAAAUCAGUCGAAGAUACCAGCUGGCUGCAACUGUUUAUUAAAAACACAGCACUGUGCAAACACGAAAGUGGACGUAUACGGUGUGACGCCUGCCCGGUGCCGGAAGGUUAAUUGAUGGGGUCAGCGCAAGCGAAGCUCUUGAUCGAAGCCCCGGUAAACGGCGGCCGUAACUAUAACGGUCCUAAGGUAGCGAAAUUCCUUGUCGGGUAAGUUCCGACCUGCACGAAUGGCGUAAUGAUGGCCAGGCUGUCUCCACCCGAGACUCAGUGAAAUUGAACUCGCUGUGAAGAUGCAGUGUACCCGCGGCAAGACGGAAAGACCCCGUGAACCUUUACUAUAGCUUGACACUGAACAUUGAGCCUUGAUGUGUAGGAUAGGUGGGAGGCUUUGAAGUGUGGACGCCAGUCUGCAUGGAGCCGGCCUUGAAAUACCACCCUUUAAUGUUUGAUGUUCUAACGUGGACCCGUGAUCCGGGUUGCGGACAGUGUCUGGUGGGUAGUUUGACUGGGGCGGUCUCCUCCUAAAGAGUAACGGAGGAGCACGAAGGUUGGCUAAUCCUGGUCGGACAUCAGGAGGUUAGUGCAAUGGCAUAAGCCAGCUUGACUGCGAGCGUGACGGCGCGAGCAGGUGCGAAAGCAGGUCAUAGUGAUCCGGUGGUUCUGAAUGGAAGGGCCAUCGCUCAACGGAUAAAAGGUACUCCGGGGAUAACAGGCUGAUACCGCCCAAGAGUUCAUAUCGACGGCGGUGUUUGGCACCUCGAUGUCGGCUCAUCACAUCCUGGGGCUGAAGUAGGUCCCAAGGGUAUGGCUGUUCGCCAUUUAAAGUGGUACGCGAGCUGGGUUUAGAACGUCGUGAGACAGUUC
rnacentral:rRNA from 1 species